GUGGAAGCAGCAGCAGGAGAGGAUACGAAAUCUCUCACCUGACCAUCGCCUGCCGGAUGACUCAGAUGUUCUCUUUUUGAUUUGCUCGGGAUGUAUGACUGCUCAGAGAGAAAUGCCUCAUUCUGGGUGCCGCUAUGAAUUAGCUGUAAUGGUGAUGAAAUGCUGAUGAUGGCCCCAGAAAAGCUUUUGCUGAGAGAGCUGCCAAUUUAAGUUCAGGACUGUUGGCAAAGUGAUGUGACACAGUUUCAGAAGCCACAUCAGAUUCACUGUCUGACUAGUUUCAUGACAAAUCAGGCAGAAGAAGCUGAAUCAGCAGAAACCUCUGAAAAGCACUGCAUGCUCAGCACCAAUAAGCAGAGAGACACAUUUUUGUGAGAUGAUGGUGGAGAACAAAACCUGACCUAACA